GAUGAAGAACGCAGCGAAAUGCGAUAAGUAAUGUGAAUUGCAGAAUUCAGUGAAUCAUCGAAUCUUUGAACGCACAUUGCGCCCGCCAGUAUUCUGGCGGGCAUGCCUGUUCGAGCGUCAUUUCAACCAUCAAGCCCCAGGCUUGUGUUGGGGACCUGCGACUGCCGCAGGCCCUGAAAACCAGUGGCGGGCUCGCUGUCACACCGGGCGUAGUAGAUUUUAUCUCGCUCAGGGCGUGCUGCGGGUUCCGGCCGUUAAAAAGCCUUUUUUACCCAAGGUUGACCUCGGAUCAGGUAGGAAGACCCGCUGAACUUAAGCAUAUCAAUAAGCGGAGGA
rnacentral:misc_RNA from 1 species